GGCCGCUUACGGGCAGCCCACGGUACAGCAGAUAGUGGACGCUUGGGUCCAGUUCAUUACAGACGAUGAUCAAAGCAAACAGGAUAUGAUUAAGGAGGCUUUUGGAAACUGAAACCAAUCACGUGACAGUGUUCUAAGAAAAAAAAAUACUUAUAUAUUUGUGGAUGUACCAUUGCCUGUUGUCUUUUAUAAUGUUAUUUUUUUCCAUUUAAUUCAUAUUUUUUCAUUUAACAAAAAAUGUACCUCUUUGUGUAAUUAAAUUUAUUUUAAAAAACAUAUGGCAGAUAUUAUCAAAUUACAUCGUUUAACAGUGAAUACAGCUGAUUUCUUAGCGGCCUAAAAUUAAUGAAAAAUUUUCACAAUUGUAUUGGUAAAUCCCAAGACUUUUGUUCAAUACUAGACACACUUGUUGCAGCUGUUUAAGAUGAUAAUUUGAAGUCAAAGAUAUGGUUUGGACAUGUUCCAUUGGAAGAGGGAUUAAUUCAGAUUUGUGGAAUACAGUAAAUAUUUGAAUAUGCUUCAAAAAAUUCCAUAUCAUGCAAACAGCAACACUUUCUUGGAACUACUUGGGAAAGAUAUUCUCCUUUGCAAGUAAAUUGCCUAUUUGGGAUGAUACAGUACAUCUUUGAUGCUUUGAUUUAUUUCAGCAACGCUUUAAAAUAUCACACUUGAGUCUGAACACAAUUCUUCUUGAUGUUGUAAAGAUGAAACACAGUGAUUAAGAGGAAUCAACAAGUAACACAAAAACAAUCUUUUGAGCCAACAACACAAUGCAAAACAAUUCACAAUUUUAUUCCACAUUGAAACCUCUAUGUACAAGUUAUUAAUAAUUUGGUUCCUGUCAAUCAAUGAAUUCUCUGUGUGUCAGUCAUACUGAAACUGAUGAUGUCAUAUAGAACAAGUACACAUCCCUACGAUACAAUGCUGGAGCUAUUGAUAAAAAAAAACAACAAUUCUUUGCAAUUACGUAACACAAUCAUCAAGUCAAACUGCAUCUUCAUGAUGAAAGAUAAAUAUGAAAGGGAUGACAUCUAAUCUAAAAGAGAAAAGUACUGUACACAUGGAGCACACUUAUAGAUAAAUGUAAUAAUUCAUUUCCAAUAUUCAGUGAAUUCAAGAUGCAGAAGUUGGACAACUGUAAAAAUCCAUUCCUAAAGAGUCACUGAAUUAUGCUAUUUACACAGAAUAAAAAUUCCUCAUGGU
rnacentral:misc_RNA from 1 species